GGGAUUUGCCCAACAGCUCAUUAUUGCCCUGAGGCAAGCUCUACAGCAGUGCCCUGCCCAGCUGGUACCUACACUAACCUCACUGGCCAGUCAGAGUGUUCCCUGUGCCCGGCUGGAUACUAUUGUCCAGAAAGGACUCGAAAUUUUACUGAAUUCCCUUGCCCUGCUGGAUUUUACUGCCCGGAUGGAACGAGGUAUGCCACCCAGUUUCCCUGUCCACGUGGAUACUACAAUCCUGAACCCAUGACACAGAGUUUGGACAGUUGCUUGCCCUGUCCCCCAGGGUACUAUUGUGAAAAGGAAAGGCUGACCAAAGUAUCUGGAAAAUGCAAGGCUGGUUGGUUUUGUGUAUCAGCUGCCUGGACCUCGCAGCCUUUUGACCUGGACAACUACACAAAUGCCAAUUGCCUUUGUCCAGCUACCUCCACAGG
rnacentral:lncRNA from 1 species